rnacentral:rRNA from 1 species
GACGUAGGAUGCAAGCGUUGUCCGGAAUUAUUGGGCGUAAAGAGUUCGUAGGCGGUUACUUAAGUCUGAUGUUAAAGACUGGCGCUCAACGCCAGCAUGGCAUUGGAAACUGGGUAGCUAGAGUGCGGUAGAGGUCAUGGGAAUUCCUGGUGUAGCGGUGAAAUGCGUAGAUAUCAGGAGGAACACCAGUGGCGAAAGCGCGUGACUGGGCCGUAACUGACGCUGAGGAACGAAAGCCAGGGGAGCGAAAGGG